CCUAGGGGUGGCAGCAGUGGGGAAUAUUGGACAAUGGGCGAAAGCCUGAUCCAGCCAUGCCGCGUGUGUGAAGAAGGCCUUCGGGUUGUAAAGCACUUUCAGUGGGGAAGAAAGCCUUGGGGCUAAUACCCUCGAGGAAGGACAUCACCCACAGAAGAAGCACCGGCUAACUCCGUGCCAGCAGCCGCGGUAAUACGGAGGGUGCGAGCGUUAAUCGGAAUUACUGGGCGUAAAGCGCGCGUAGGCGGUCUGAUAAGCCGGUUGUGAAAGCCCCGGGCUCAACCUGGGAACGGCAUCCGGAACUGUCAGGCUAGAGGGCAGGAGAGGAAGGUAGAAUUCCCGGUGUAGCGGUGAAAUGCGUAGAGAUCGGGAGGAAUACCAGUGGCGAAGGCGGCCUUCUGGACUGACACUGACGCUGAGGUGCGAAAGCGUGGGUAGCAAACAGGAUUAGAUACCCCAGUAGUC
rnacentral:rRNA from 1 species